rnacentral:lncRNA from 1 species
UUGCAUCAUUGAUAAUGAUAAUGGUCAAUGUGUUAGCUUGCAGAGAGUGCCAGACACUAUCAAAAGCAUUAUAUACUUUAACUCAUUUAAUUCCCAUAGAAACCUGUGGGGAAGGUAUUAUUAUUUGUAUUUCACAGGUUUAAAAACACAAGGGAAUUUAAGUCACCUGCCCGAGCUCUCACAGGUGGUAAGAUUUGGGGUGCUCUUCAGUGACUGCCAAGGGAUGAAAUUGGAGAGCCAUGGUAGAAUCCAGACAUUUGGCUGAGCUUCUCUGCUGAUAGGAGAGGGGAUGCUAAGCCUAUUUUGGGUGAAACCUCCCCUUGGGAAGCUAGAGCAUUGCCUUCCUUCUUCCCCAGAUCACAAUGCUGCUGGGUGGUACCUAGGAGGUAAUGGGGCGGGAGCAAGGUAGGUCAUAACCGGGAUAUCUUCUCUCUGACUGAGUUUGUUUUUAACUAGGACAUCCUGAGAUUUCAGUGAAAUGUGCUGAUGGGAGAGGAAGAGAAUGAGUUUUGGUGCAGAAAGGCAUCUGAGGUAGGUAUUGCCAUUUCCUAGCUGUGUAUCAUUGCACAAGUUACUUAACUUUGCUGAGGCUUUUUUUUCCAUACCUGCAAAGUGGAGAUUAUAAUAAUACCUCCCUCUCACUCAAAGGGCUGUUGUAUUAAAAGGGGUGAGGAUAUAAAAUACUCAGCAUUCACAUAUAAUAAAUACUGCUUUAGUGUUAGCUAUUUUGUUAUAACUCAAUUAAAUUUUGUUAAACAUGUACUAUCAACACAAGAAAACUGGAAAUUGGAAAAAUGCUAAUAUAGCUACAAAAGAAAAAUGCUAAUAUAACUGGAGCCAGUUGAGACACAUCCGAUUUCCCUCCUCUCUUUGUCAAAGAACCUUUCAGUUCAUGUUCUGGAGGUAAUGAAAAGCUCAUUAUUAUUUUCUCUUCUGGUUUGCAACUCUUCCUUUCAGGGGUUUGACAAAGGGGGAAAGCGCAAGUUGCCUUAUCUAAAACAGUGUGAUAAUCGGUUGUCUUAGUGGCAUUUCAUGUUUUAUUUUCCCAAGGGGAUGGUUGCUGGAGCAGAUGGACUGUCUGGGCCCCACAGGCAGCCUCUGGGCCUUCUUACAGGAAUGCAUUUAACCUAUACUCAUAAUAUGCACACAUUCACACAGUGUACAUAUACAAAAUAAAGCUGCUAAGCUGCCAGUGCCUCUGUGCAAUUAAAAAAAAGGUGAUUAAAAAAACAAACUCUCUAUGCAAGGACUUCAAUUCGUUAUAAUUGUAAGCCUCCAAUCUCACUCUGAGCUACAGGAUAUUGCACAUUAUUGAUCUCUGAAAACCACUUCAGCAAUCUCUUUCUGAGCUGGCUGUUUUUUUUUUUUUUUACUUGCAGUGAUGCUUUCUUUCUUUCUAAAAGAUGGCCACUUCCUUUCAUUCAGUGUUUGUGCUUCUUCACGUAUCAACACAAGAGAAAAAAAAUAUUUUAAAUGUUAUGUGUCUGAAAAUGAGUCCAUGGCUGGCUGCUUUUUAUUUACUUGCUGGUUCCAAGGUGCUUUUGUGGACUUUGAGCUCCACCCAGUGGCAAUGUGUAGCCAAAAACCUAAAAAAAAAAAAAAAAAAAAAAAAAAAAA